GCACAAGCGAAAAGUGGCACAGGCAAAAAGUGGCGCCUAGGCAAGUGCAACAUGACAGCCACCCCAGGACCCGCGCUGCUGCCCUCCAACUCCACGGGCAGCCCACAGCAAAAUUUCAUGUGUUCCUUGUAUACAAGCUAUCAGGCCUCUGAGCCCAAGCCUGCAAGUACACAUCCAGAUGGCCUGAAGCAACUAAAGAACCACAAAAGAAGUGAAAAUAAUUCCUGCCUUAACUGAUGACAUUCCACCAUUGUGAUUUAUUCCUGCCCCACCCUAACUGGUCAAUUGACCUUGUGAAAUUCCUUCUCCUGGACAAUGAGUCUCACAACCUCCCCACUAAGCACCUUGUAACCCCCAUCUCUGCCUGCAAGAGAAAAACUCCCCUUGACUGUAAUUUUCCACUACUUGCCCUAAUCCUAUAAAACUGCCCCACUCCUAUCUCCCUUUGCUGACUCCUUUUUCGGACUCAGUCUGCCUGCACCCAUGUGAUUAAAAAGCUUUAUUGCUCACACAAAGCCUGUUUGGUUAUCUCUUCACACAGACAUGCGUGACAUUUGGUGCUGAAGACCCGGGAUGGGGGACUCCUUCGGGAGACUGGUCCCCUGUCCUCACCCUCACUCCAUGAGGAGAUCCACCUACAACCUCGGGUCCUCAGUCCAACCAGCCUAAGGAACAUCUCACCAAUUUCAAAUCAGAUCUUGGCUUAGUGGCUGAAGACUGAUGCUGCCCAAUUACCUCGGAAGCCUCCUGGACCAUCACAGAUACUUUGAGUAAUCUCUUAUAGUGGAAGGUCCUCUUUGGAUUCCAGCACGAUGCAUCAAACCAUACCAUGGCAUGCCUAGGACCCAACCCCAUAUCAGAAAUGAAGAAACUGACCUUACAGUACCCGCAGCCCUGAACAAAGCAGCUUCCACAGAUGACACAAGCCCCGGACCUGGGGGAUGCUGAAGAGGACAACUCAGGAGGCUGAACGAAUCCUGCUCUGGACACUGACACCAAUUACUCCAGGAAAUUUUUUCCUUGCUAUGCUUUCUGUGUAUAUUGCAACUCACAUAGGGAUGCAAAGUUGGAAUAAGAGCAAUGACCACCUCUCCUGAGAGACCUGUUUGUUCCCACAUCUGUACUCUUCAGUCAACAGAACCUGAUGCAAAGAACAGAAAAGGGGAAGAUGUGGGGGAUUCAGUCAGGAUGGUGGGAGAAAUUGUAAAAUUAUAGGAAAUAAUCACAAACACUUGUGGAAGGCCUGGGGGUUUGCAUAAAAUGUUGGGCUGAAGGCAGCUGAAUUCUCUUAAAAGCUUAGGGCAUAGAUACACAGAAAUGUAGUUUAUCUAAAUGACUUGUUUACUUAUGUGGUCCUAAAACUAACCUUUGAUAGUUUAUGGGCAGGAUAGCUCUCUCAGGGUAGGGGGAGGGCAACCAGAUUGAUUACCCACUGAUGGUGUUGACUCAAAGCCUUCGUCAUUUAAUAUGUGCUGAAUAAAUGCCAGCAGGGCCAGUGAGUCAGGGCCACAGCUGCAACUCUUUACAGCACUCUCCUUUGAGUCUGUAAGUGGCCUAGACCCUCAGCCGGUCUGACAAGCAUAAUAUCUGUGUUAGUGUACAUUAUUCAUCCAUCGUUGGGUCAGGGUCUGCAGGACAGACCCCUAGAAAAAUAAAAUAAAAUUAAAAAUAGCCGGGUGUGGUUACACACACCUGUAAUCCCACCUACCUGGGAGGCUGAGAUAGAAUCGCUUGAACACAGGAGGCAGAAUUUGCAGUGAGCCGAGAUCAUGCCACUGCA
rnacentral:lncRNA from 1 species